rnacentral:ncRNA from 1 species
AAAAAGGGAAUGAGGUUCUCCCGUAGUGAAAGCUAAAACCGCUGAUUCAAGGCUGAUGACUUCUGCAAU